rnacentral:lncRNA from 1 species
GGCGCUGACGGCGAUUUUGGGAUCCUGGGGCUUGAACAGCGUGAAGUAAAGGAGGAAGACGACGAUGAGGAGGAAGAUCAGGAAGAUGGUGGCCACAAAACAGGACGCCAGGUUCGUGCGGUUCUCGGGCUUCGCCAUGGCUGUGAGAGAGGAAGUAUCUAAGGGAUGUGAUGUGAUGAAGAUGAUGAAUGCAACAAACCAAAGCAGAACAAAACAAAACACAACAAAAGCCAGGAGCACAUGGAGUGUGUGUAGAAAUUUGCAGCGUGUGAAGAGGUGGGUAGGACCAUAGCUCAUGCUCUGCUUAUUUGAUUAUUUGUUUUUUUGCCUUCAAGCCAAUUCUAUUUACGUGGAAUUUUUUGUCUUGCAGUGGACCCUCCAUUUUUUUAAAUUUAUGAACUCUGUAAUGUUUCAGCAUAGGACUAAGUUUAUAUUAACUUUGACAGGAAAUAAUAUAAACUCUGGUAUAUGAGUUUUCUUAAUCAGGGUUGGAUGAACUUUAUUCAUUACGUGAUCUCAGGUAGUACUGUGGGAGAUAGUUUCUCAUUACCAAAGGCCAUCUCGCACGGCUUCUUUACCAGACAUGAAUCAACAAGUGAGGUAAAUAUCUUGUCCCAUUCCUACAGUUAUUGAACCUCUCGCUGUGAUUAAAUAUAUAUUUGUCAAUCACAUUUUCUUUAAAUCUAACAAAUAUAACUCAGUUUCAUUUCCACUCAAAUUUUUAUAAUUAAAUAUGAUUGAACAUAUAAUUGAAUCACUAUUUGUUUUAUCUGGUUUUCUAAUCAAAAAAAUAAAAAUUACGUUCAAUCACUUAUUUAGUUCUACAUAUAAAAACUUUUCUUUAUUUCUAAGAAUUCUCUUUUAGAUCCUAUAAUUGCUCAUAGUUGUUACUUCCAAUCGAAAAUGUAAAAUGUUUUAUAAAAAUAUUUUUAAAAACUAUGUAUUACAAUAAGGACAAGCGAGUGCUCUGUCUCUAUAGUAUAAACUGAAGAAAGUUAAAAUAUGGCAAAGUUAUACAUAGGAAAUAUGGCAAAGGCAACGUCAGACAGUAAGAUGUCUGGUUGAGGCAUAUUUUUCAAAAGUAAACAUGCUAAACAUAUUACAAUUAUGUACACAAGUCAUCCAACUUCUGUCAAUCUUCGCAGAAACCUAGAAUAUAUAAUGUUUCAAUAUAAUACAUGUUAUAGAGACCCUUCAACCUCUGCCCAGAAGAUCAUUACAAUUGUGAAAAAGGCAGCAAUGCAUGGAUGAGAUAUGAGAUAUGAGAUAUGAGAUAUGAGAGAUGAGUGAUGAGAAAGAGGUUCACAGACAUUUUAUACCAGGUGCAGUCCAUCCAAAUAUGGAAUGCAUACACAGUUAUGAUGCAAAUAUAUUUAUUGUUAUUACAUUAUAUAACUAUGAAUCCGAGAGAGUUUAUUUUGAAAGCUUGUCAAGGCGAGAAUCCAUGAUCUGGGAGACAAAUUCAAGAAACACAGAUUCCCCCAUGCCAGGUAGCAUUGAUUCCUGGGCUUCACAAAUAAUCUCCUCGAUUACAGAUUUCUUGUUCAAAUUUUCCCUACACAUAAUGCUUCCGAUGUCAAAGGGACUGAGACCUCUCUCAACCCCUUUCUUCAAUAAAAUUGUGGAGAUUCGGAGUGUUCGAGCACACUCUACCGGAACAUCCCACCCAUAAUAUUUCAGAAGCUCUAUAUCUUUCUCAGCAUUCAGAGAUUUAAUAUAUUCAACUGUGUCAGGAGAGUAAGGUUCACGAGCUUGGGGCCAGUAAAGCCAAUCAAAUGUGCAAUCCUCAAACUGCACACACAACACAAACAUAUCUUUCAGUCCCACACAUUCCACAAUCAACAAAUCUUUUCUAUCAAACACAUUAUGAAUAUGUAAAACAAAUACUUGACAGACACAGUUUUUCUUGCAGAAACCAAACACCAAAGCAUAUAUGCAAGAAACACAUGGUGAUAUGCAGUGAAACCGUGAAGGAAAGAUGAAGAAUGUUUACCUGCUCUGGUAGACAGUAGCCAUGAUCAAUGGGAAUGAGGAGAGUGCGGCCAUCUGC